AGUGAACGCUGGCGGUAGGCCUAACACAUGCAAGUCGAACGGCAGCACAGUAAGAGCUUGCUCUUACGGGUGGCGAGUGGCGGACGGGUGAGGAAUACAUCGGAAUCUACUUUUUCGUGGGGGAUAACGUAGGGAAACUUACGCUAAUACCGCAUACGACCUACGGGUGAAAGCAGGGGAUCUUCGGACCUUGCGCGAUUGAAUGAGCCGAUGUCGGAUUAGCUAGUUGGCGGGGUAAAGGCCCACCAAGGCGACGAUCCGUAGCUGGUCUGAGAGGAUGAUCAGCCACGCUGGAAAUGAGACACGGUCCCGACUCCUACGGGAGGCAGCAGGGGGGAAAAUUGGACAAUGGGGGGAAGCCUGAUCCAGCCAUACCGGGUGGGUGAAGAAGGCCUUCGGGUUGUAAAGCCCUUUUGUUGGGAAAGAAAAGCAGCAGGUUAAUACCCCGCUGUUCUGACGGUACCCAAAGAAUAAGCACCGGCUAACUUCGUG
rnacentral:rRNA from 1 species